rnacentral:rRNA from 1 species
UACGUAGGUGGCGAGCGUUGUCCGGAUUUAUUGGGUUUAAAGGGUGCGUAGGCGGCUUUGUAAGUCAGUGGUGAAAUACUCCAGCUUAACUGGAGGGGUGCCAUUGAUACUGCGGAGCUUGAGUACAGAUGAGGUAGGACGGAAUUGACGGUGUAGCGGUGAAAUGCAUAGAUAUCGUCAAGAACACCGAUAGCGAAGGCAGCUUACUGGGCUGUAACUGACGCUGAUGCACGAAAGUGUGGGGAUCAAACAGG